UGUCAACUGAUAUUUCUAUUGUGCAUGCGUUUCCCAGGUUCAUGUCUCAAGUAUAAAAAGAGAAAAUGUGCUACUCAAUCCAAAAAGUCUACUGCCCGCCAUUCCCAGUCUGUCAGACGUCGCAAAAUCACCAUGUGGCCAAGGAAGAGGAAGGGACAUCAAACAUCCCCAAGCAACUCUUCUUCUUUGGAAGCUCCCCUGGAAGACCUGGUGGAGGACCCUCUUCGUGACAGGGAGGAUGAAGUGGUUCCACCUAAUGUUGAGGGGAACUCCAGAGAAAGUGAAAACGAAGACCAGGAACAACUGAUGGGGGCACUUCCAAGUGAUCAAGAGGAUGAAGAGGUCCCAUUUAAAGCCAAGGUGAGCUUACUAGUCAUUGAUCUAAAGUUGAUUUUUUGGUCUCUUCCACUGUAAUUGAUAUCAGAUGAGGA
rnacentral:lncRNA from 1 species